rnacentral:lncRNA from 10 species
GGAAAUCUUCCCUGAGGCAUAAUCAGAAUUUUUUCUCCUCCCUCUUUUUCCUGGAAUCUUGAGCAUUGUUUUAGUAGGAAGUUAUUGUACAGCAUAGACCUGGUUAAUUUACAUUCCUGUCUUCCCUUUCAGUCUGGGAGUCCUUGAGGACAGAUCUUGGCCACUAGGUUUUCUGUAUUUACAAUUCUUAUACAGGUUCUGCAACCUAGCAGGUGCUCAGUGUAAGUGCUUCCUAGUGAUUCCCUGUCACUUAUUACUCUAUUCCAGGUGUAAGUUUGUUCCCAACAUACCAGACAGAGAGCAACUCUCACCAGAGAAGAUCCCAAUGUGUUUUAUGCUAGAUCUGACUUUAAUUAAGUGUAGACAAUGCUCCCAUCAGUGCUGGAACUGGCCCCGGUAACUUGCUUUAGCUGAUGGAAUGUUACCAAACACAACAUGAUCAAAGGCUUGAGAGAUGAUUUCCCUCCUGUGCUUCCGCAAUUACCAUGAAAAGAACAUGGCCUGGUGGUCCCUGAUCCCCAAAGAAUGACGGACACCUGGAAAAAGCUUGGAGUAACAGAUUCAUGAGCAAGAAUAAAUAAUUAUUGUUUUAAU